rnacentral:misc_RNA from 1 species
GUGAAUCAUCGAAUUUUUGAACGCAAAUUGCACUCUCUGGUAUUCCGGAGAGUAUGCCUGUUUGAGGAUCAGUUUAAAUAAAAAUCGGUGUGGUUGCUGCCUUUCGUGGUGACGCACCGGAUGUGGGUCGUCUUGCCUUCGGUUAAGUGACCUAAAAUUUUGCAUGAUUUUUUCGAACGUAUUUAAUUGAUUUAAGUAAGGUUGGCGAUUUCGAUAAUUAGGUCCG